CAUUGGCUAGAUGGGGGCAGACAAGUGGAGUCCCACACCACCUAUGUCCAACUCACCAGGUGUGGGAGUGCUGUCAUGGAGUACCUGGAUUGCUCGGUGUCUAGUCAUGUGUAUUCUGAAAGUUGCUAAGGAGGUUGGAAGAAUUUGGUGCACUGGGGAGCUGCAGAUCCAAGGAUUAGUUCUGUCCCCAUUGCUUAUGGUCAGUAAUACCUGGCCUGCUAAAUUGGCGCGGCUGCAAUCAACAUUGAUUUAGUGGGUCUGAUAAAGACGUGCCAGUUCGAUGGGAGUUCACUCUCCUGUUGACUUCAGAGGGGUGGACGCUAAGUUGGCGGGAGAGCGUCUCCCGUCGACAUAGCACAGUGUAGACACUGCAUUAGAUCCAUGUAAGCUACGCCGCUCUGGAGGGGGAUUUUUUCACACCCCUGACCGAUGUAACUUACAUUGACUUAAGUGGUAGUGUAGACCAGGCCUCAGAAACCUGACUACUACUCACACACUGGCCGCCUCCGGUAUAUUAGUUUUCACACAGUGACAGGCACUGUACAACGUGCCAAGAAAAUAGAGUCCUUGCUUGGAGGGGCGACAAGCUUGAGUUAGGAUCAAGUAGAACAAAGACAACAGAAUAAGCCCAGAGUUGGGUGCUGUCUUAUCCAUGGAGAAGAAGCAGCACGUUUGCUGAACACUAAUCAUCAGGAGGUUGUCCCGGGUGUAAGGAGCAGCACGGAAGAGGGCACAAAGCCAGGAGUGGGCGAUGAAGACAGGGGACGCAAUCAGAAGAGAAGACUGGGCUGAGGGUAAGAGGCAAGAGCUGGAGUAGGAGGGGACGGAAGGAGAGACGUCAGCAAGGGAGAAGUUGUGCAGGCCUUGAAAAUGUGGAAACACUUUGGAGAGGUGAUGCAAGCCCCAUAUCACUACAGACAAACUUCCCUUAAAAAAACAGCAAGUGGAUGGCCCACUGUUAUUUCUGCUCCCCAUUGAAAACUCCUGGGUAUUGGCCAACACUGUGCAUGUCAGUUAACGUUACAGUAAGAGCGGCAAAAUACUGGCCCUAGUCAUAGCUGAACUGUGCAUACCAAGCUUCUAAUAUCGUUAACAACGGACUUCUCCACAAGUGUCUGCUUCAGUCCAUACGUGUGAAAAUGGACAAAAUCUGAGCAGUGUGGAAUUGUGCUAAGCAGGAAAGUACUUCUUUGGAGUAGCUGCCACAUUAGGUAGAGAUUAUCUCAGGCAAAAGCCUUUGAAUGAUCUUACUCUAUUAUACUGUGUUACAAGCUAAUAGCUGGCCUUAUGGGACUGCUGCUCUGAGCCAAGGAGCAAGAUAAUUAAUAUUGUAAAUGAAACAUAAAUUUCAGCUUUUGGCCUUUUCCACUGAAACUUAUUAACAAAGUACACUCAGAGCAACAUAAUCACCUCAAAUGCGGCCUGCGCUUUGCUUUGUGAGUUUCGAUCCUUCUGCUGAGAAAAGCAACACGAUUUUAUUUAAAAAAUAUUUUUUGUCUCAGACAAAAAUGGAACAAACGAGAGUUUCUUUGUAAGAAACUUAAUUGUCAUCAUCACACUGGGCUCUAGGAAAAAGAAAUGCCUUCCACUACAAAAUGUUUACAUUGGCUGCCCAGGUUUCCCCUGAUUUCUCUGGUGGGAAUGAAUAAUUAAGAGGUGAACUGGGCGGUGAAAAAAGGUCUGGGUGCGUUUAAGGCUAAUGUCACAGCAUUCCAAGGACAAAGCUCAUGGUACAUAGAAAGGGUUUUCUAUCAGGUAAAUGAAUUAAAUAGCUAAGCAAGAUGCCGAGAAGAAGAGUCAAACAAAAGCAGAGAAUUCCCAGUACGAAUGUAGUAUGCACUUACGACAGUUAUUGCAUGAAAUGGCUGCAGAACACACAUACGUGAGACACAGGGGCAAUGCACGUAAGGUGUUAAUAGUCUAAGCUGAUGCCAAGGAAGAAAAAGAGCAGACAGGGUCAGCCACUGUUUCCUGAGCUAAAUGUUCAUUUUCUUAUGGUGGUCAGAGCUGGGGGUGUUUUACAAUGUGCAAAACAUGCACUUAUAAUUAAAAUGAAAUUCACACUGACAGAGACAAGGGGAUGGCAAAUAUUGGCCGUUCACACAACAUCUAUAGAACGUUUGGGGGGACAUUUUUAAACUAAAGGCUUUAAAAAAAGCCCACAGAAAUAAAGUUGUUUGGGAAUUCAUAUGCAGCACACGGAGCCGCUUCUUGGUGGAAGCGAGCACUGAUUGUACUUUAAAAUAAGCAGCCACCCCACUUUGACUUUUAAUUUCCUGUCUUUUUGUUUGAAUAUGGGGAUGUUGCCAUUGUUCGUAAAGAGUAGAAGCUAAAAAAAUGUGGUAAAUACAAGAAAAGAGAACAGUGGGAUGAAUUUACCUGUCUACUAUGGCUGCUUGGAGCUACGAGUUCCUUAGGCAUGCAGAUAGGCACCUGGAAGGGGUUUACAAAAGUGUAUAAGUGAUUUAGGAGCCUAACUCCCCUUGACUUUCAAGGGCAGUUUGACACCUAACAUGCUAAGGCACUUUAUCAAUCUCAUCAGUUGCCUAGUUAUAUUAUUAGGUGCCUAAAUACCUUUAUAAAUCUGGCCCAAAUUUACUUUUAAAAUGGAACUUAGAUUCCUAAAUCACCUAGGUGCUUUUGAUAAAUUUUACUCAGUCAAAUGCAUCCCAGCUACUGCUGGAUGGUCUUUAUGUGGUAAUGUGUCUUAGCAUUCCUGCUUCCAAAACAAGAGGCACCUUAUAACUUUCACUCCAGUGAUUUAUAUUAAUUGACACUUUAGAGAAAAUUGAUCUCUACAAAUAGAAAGGUUCAGAUACUCAGUGUAUAUUGACUUCAGAGGACCUGUGCUCAUUUACCUUAUAUGACACUCUGGUCUCUCAUCUUUAAAUUUAGGAGUACAUAGCAAGGAUAAGAAAUCAGCUUUUCUUUUUCUUUGCUAGUGAUGAAUGUCUUUUAAUCACCUGCACCAAACUUAGACUCAACAAGUGUAUUGUCUUUCCUGAAGUGCGGUGCAGUAACAUCCAUUAUUAAGCACAGCUCAACUUUGAAAUAAACUAGUAGGAAAAACUAUGCAAAGAUUUAUUUUGUGUGUGUGUGGAUUAUUUUUAUCCCUUCAAUCGAAUGGGUAGUUAGGAAGAUCCUUUUCAUUUCUGCUAUUCCCUUAAGCUUUGGCUGGUAAGUGCAGGUUGAACAUAUGUCUUUAUGUUACGGAGCACCUAUCCAUCACCCAGGCCUUUUGUCAAUUCACCCAAUGUGACAAUUACAGCAUUUCAGAGAUGAGACUUUCUAAUCCUAUUACUCAUUCAUCAACCUGCGGAUGAUAGGAGAAGCCAGAUCGAAUAGUGCCAAAAGAGCAGUGAGGAGCCUUCUCCAGUGCUGUGAAACUAGGCUUAGCUCAGGCACAAUAGGUGUGUAAUUUAAGGUUUUGUUGAGCUGAAAUCCAAUCACAUACUUGACUGGUAGAUCACAGAAAGACACAGGCAAAGAGAAUGAGAUAAUUCUACCUCACACAAACACUUGAAUCCGGCUUUGACUUAAUAACAAAUGUUUGAUCAACCUUACACUGUUUCAUUCCAUUUUUUUUAUUGGCACCUAGUGAUGGGAUGGGGACUGUACUACUUUACCUACUUGGGUACUGGCCAGUAAUAUAAAAAGACCAGGUUGAUAAUGGAGGAACCUGAUCUGACUGAAACAUAGGAAAAAGUGCAGAUGAUCAGUGUAUGAAAGAAAUGAUGCAAAUAUGGCUUCCUGGGAUUGGACUGAGUAUGGUUUUAUCAGCACUCGGUACCACAGCAUGCUAUUGUGGUAGCAUGGUUAGAGGGGACCUAACAGAAACACGAGAAGAGAAAAUAAAAGGAGAGCAGUGAGUGGGGCAAGGUGGGAAAGAAUCUUUUUAACUCUGCUGUGAACUUUUUCUCCACCUCUCUCAUUUAACUGGAUUCCUCCUAUAAUCUAUGUUAAUUGGAGAAAACGGUGCAGAAGGUGCAACAUUUGCAUACAUACAUGUGAGAAAAUCUGGUACAAGGGUGUUGCACCUUAAAGUUGCUACCCAGAAGAGGUAGGCAGGUGUGUGUGUGUGUGUGUGUGUGUGUGUGUGUGAGACACAGAGUAAUCCCUAUACUAUGAAUCAGUUCUGUGGUGAGUUAGAAAGAUAGAUUUUAAUCCAGGAGUAGUUUUUCAGAUCCACCAUUAAAAAGUGGGGCAACACUGGCUGCACCAUCCAUUGCCUUUACAUAUUACAAAAAUGAUACCACAAAGCCUUUUUGCUAAAUGCAUAUUAAAUAACACAGUCAGCAACAACAUCCACCUACAUUCAUGUUUAUCACCUUCAUCACCACAGUGGCACUGCACCGUAAUCCAGCUUCUGUGAUCUACCUAACAUUAAUUUCAUAGAUCAACACCAAACUUUUCAAAAAUUUCGUCUGAUUUUGAGUGCCCAACUUUAGUCACCGAUCUAAUUUUCAGACUGGCUGAGCACCCCGCCGUGGGAUUUUAGAUGCUUGGGAUCUUUGAAAAUCCGAUUCAAGGUAUCUCAAGUUGGGCAGCUAAAAGUUCCGACCUCCAGCGUUAAUUGAAACUUUAAACAAACGGUGUAAAUAUUUUGGUUUUUUUUAAAAAGACAAAUGUUUAAUGUUGAUUCAAAUUUGGCAAAAGUAGCAAGUGCUGUAGGGGUGUCAUUGGAAUGAAAGAGCAACAAAAUGGCCCCUAGAAUCAAUCAACACAAUGGAAGUUUGUAACAUAUGAAAAGCAUACAAAGGCAUAUUUAGUGCCCAUUACAGCAUCAGUAACAAUCAUACUAUAUUUGUGUGAAAACAGGGGAGCCAAAUCCUACCCUGAGGAAUGUGAUGACCUGGUAAAAACAAGAACCUCAGAGAAAUGAAAGGGGGCAGAAGGCCACAAUGGGAGCAAAGAGCUAAAAUUCAGUUCAAGACUAGGAGUUAGUUGAAAGAGACCAAAGUACAGGCAAUGUGCUGCCUCCAGCCUAAAAUAAACAGGAUACAAUGUUCUGAAUUCUAGAACAAGGUAAUCCAGAAAUGAAAUGAAUAUUUUUUUAAAAACAAUGAGUUGUUUAAAAAAAAAAACCCAAUAAUUUGUUUGAUGUUCAAACACUGUGUGUGAGAGAGAGAUUUUCAGCAGCUCAAAGGAGUAAAAUGGAACUGAAAUAUCUUCCAAAUUGGGGAGGAAGGAAAGACAACUGAAUAUAAUCUGAGAAGCUCAAAUGGGAGUCAAAUAUGGUUCCAAAACUAGAGAUUUCAUAGACACAGAUAUUUCAUUCAAAUACAAUACAGAGUCUGACAUUUGACCAGACAAUUGGCUUGGAGUUCUAACUAGAAUAGCCUCAGUUUUAAAAAUAUUUAGGGGAAUAAAAUUUGAAUUUCCUAAGGCUUUGGUAGUGGCGAUCAGUGAACAUUGAGACAAACAAUAUGAAGUUGACUACUGUCUGACAUAUCAGAUUUAGGAAGAGAACAGCAAUUUUUGCUAGAUUUAGCCACGGACGUCAGCUCACAAAAGAAAUGUUCUUCCCCUGAUGUUUGCAAGCUUUUUAUAGCUAAACUCUCUUUUACUCCCAUGGAGGCAGGUUGUGUUUGUGCCACAUAUUGCGAGUGACAAAAAGCCACACAAAAUACAAUAGCUCUGUGAAUACUCUGUAACAGAGUUACUGCCCUGCCUGGGUGAGUGAACAUUCCUCAACAUACACACAGAUAACCCCACAGGGUGUGGCUCCUCCCUUGCUCAGGAAGUAAUUCUGAGCCAUUCAGAGGAGAAUCUGUUCUUCCUGACAGAGGGAAACUUUUUAACUUUUUGGGGACAGAGGGAAACUUUGGGUUACCACAACACCAACCACAAGACGGAAGCCGUCUCUCUAUCUGCUCCUAAUCCAGCAGCCUCAUUGAAUCCUGCCAUGUCGGAAGGUGAAGAACGAACCCCCCCCCCCCCACGCAGAACAGGUCUCUGUCAUGCUCAGAGCUUGCGGAUCCCCUGCAUGGACUCCUUAAAGUCUGUCUCCACCCCUCUCCCAGCAGUUCCCAGCUCAGCUGAAGGAGGAAAAUUAAGCUGUGAACUGGAAUUCCAUCAGGCUGUCUACUGUGAAGCCCUGGGGCUUUAGCAAAAGAGCAGCAGUGGUCAGAAACUGCACUCAACAGCCAUUGUGUCUUUCUACUUUAGCUCCUUCAAGAAGCCAUCUCAAUGCUGCCAAGUGGAUUAGCUCUCCAAGGGAGCUGCUGGCUCCCUCCUGCUUAUAGACAGAAUCCAUCACCUCCUUCCAUGCGCAUACCCUCCACUGGUCUGCAACCCAGGAUACCUACUCCACCCCCAAAGUUGGGCUUCCUUACUGUCAUCACCAAAUGCUACAAUGGCUAAUGCCAUCACUUGACCAUCUCUGAAUAUAUCUGCAAGGAUGUUGAAGCAGAAGCAAGAGUUGGAAAAGGAAAGAGUCCAUUUAAAUGAAGAACAGUGCCAAAGACACAGUUGUAAGGUACAGACGGGGAAGAUCAUUAAUGAAAGCACCGAAGCAGCCACAUCUGUGAUUGAAUACUCAGUCUUUUAGUCCCCACUGCUGUGUUUACUGCUCCUUAAUGUGGUAUUGUUUACUCACAAUUAAACUCUUUACCAUUAAUUUAACUUUCAGAUGCUGAAUUGGUCACAGAGAUUCAAAUCCCAGGGUCCGGACAGAUGUGUUCUAUACACUUGUUUAAACACGGCUCUCAUUAGGAAGUAAUGCAUGUAUAGCAAGCUGAUUACAGUACAAAGCAGGAUGCUUUAUCAUGGGAGCCUCUCUGGAGGCACCAGCGAGUUUGUCAGCUGCUGCUGCCACUCCUCUACCACUCACAUAAUGAGUGACAGUAAGGCCCAGGGCCUACUUAGCUGCAUGCUAGGAAUUACACAGCUUCCCUGUAAGAGCGCUGCAGAGUUGCUGGAUAGGAAGCAUCAAUUGUUGUCAGCCUAAAUUUCACACCAAAGAUAACAAAUGCUUGCAACCGAGGCAAGGAGAUAAACAAGUUUCCCAGCCCAUGUAAUUAAAACAUGUCUGCAUAUUUAACCAAGAUGUUCUCUAAAAUAUGGGAGUUGUGAACUGGUAACAGACAUCAACCGCAAAUGCCCAAAGUAAAGCGAAGGUUGAAAACCUUAUGCGAAGAUGCAUUUCUUUGCAUUGUAGGAGAGUGCUGAGGUAUGAACUGGGCAAUUUUGGAGCUUUAACUUUCAGUGUUGCAAUUUUCAACUACUGAUAUUUUAGCAGAGAUAUAACAUUGGGACUCUAGGAAAAUAGCGAGUGGAGAGUUCUACCUUGGAAGUCGGCGACUUCUGGGCUUCUAAAAGUGGGUAGGAGAAUUUAAGUAGUUUUUUAUUAAACUAUAUUUGAUGUUAUUUUCUCCUCUUAUAUUUCCUUUAUCUUAAGGGAUAGCUCAGUGGUUUGAGCAUUGGCCUACUAAACCCAGGGUUGUGAGCUCAGUCCUUGAGGGGGCCACUUAGGGAUCUGGGGCAAAAUCAGUACUUGGGCCUGCUAGUGAAGGCAGGGGGCUGGACUCUAUGACCUUUCAGGGUCCCUUCCAGUUCUAUGAGAUAUAAUAAUAUAUGGAGAUAUACCUAUUAUAUUAAGAGAACACUUUCCUUGUAAUAUAUGUGUUGGGCGAACUGAUAGACUUAGUCCAAGAUUUUGCAACCAAAGGGACCCACAGGAUAGUAUUUUUUCCCUUCCUCUGCCUCCUGCUGCUGCUCACUAGCUAUUGAAAGGGACACUGCAAAACUCGGGGGGUGGGGGGGGGAAGGAGCAAUUGUAGGUAAUUUUCCUAUUUUUGAAGUGUCCAUCAUCCUAUACUGUAGAUCUGUAAUUGUUUCCUUUAGACUUUUGGAUGCUUUUUUGUGUGCGUGUUGAAUGGAAUAGGACUCUAGGAUGAACAGAAAUCUGAAGAAAAUUCUGUUCGGAUUUUCCUCAUCUGACAUCAGUAAAUUUAGGUCUGAGACUUUACAGAAUUGUUGGCAUUGAUGUAGCCUGUUUUGCAGUGGCACUGUGGUCAAGUUCUCUGUCUCUAGCAUAUUUUAAUGCUGGUGAAAGGUAUUAUCCUAUUUGGCCUCACUUGAAAGUGGGAACACUACCAUCCGUGCCCUCCUGCAGGAACAACUUUAGCCAUCGCUGUGGAAGAGGGGAAGUGGAUGAGGUAAGAUUCUGGCAUGACAGCCCUAGAGGCUGAAAGCCUUUAUUUUCCCCAGGCAAUAGGUAUAGCGGAGGCAGUGACAAACUUUUCAGAUCGCUCUAAGAAUACAGAUAAUUAUUUUUCAGUGUUCAUUCAAUCCUUAGCAUUUCUGCUGAUUGUCAGAAGGGGCACAAAACUGCACUAAUUGUGAUGGGGGGCUCUGACUUGUGUGUACUAGAAACCCCAACUCAUUCCGCAUGGCCAGAUGAGCAUGUGCAGUGUCACUUAAAAAAAUUUUUUGAAUGCUUUUUUGAAUGCUUUGAAUUUUCAUCAUGAAAGAUUUACACAAUGGGAAAGAUUCCAUAAAUUAAUUAAUUUAAUGUAUGAUGUUCAAAUGGCGACGCUGUGUUUAUAGCCAGACUUCUAUUGGUUGUAAAUGGAAAUAAUCCUAACUGACAUGCAUUUCUUUUUAAAACCACAAAGAUUUAAAAGUUCCAAAUCCACCAUGAACUGAAUAAAGAUGGCAAGAGUGUAUUUAAAAAUAGCAUUUGAUCAAUUUUUUAUUAUUUUCUUUACACUAGAUUAGCUAUAAUUACAUAUUAAUAACCUAAAGCAUUAGAUAUUAUCUUCCAAGUGCAAACUAAGAAAAUCUAAUAUUUCAAUUGUUUAAAUUAGAGCUGACUGAAUGAUUCACAAUGAAUAAUUUAUUCGAUUAAUUUAACCACUAAUGAUUGCACAGUAUCCACAAGCAGAUUUCAGUUUCUAUGAAUUUGUUACUUGAUAAAUGUUUCCCAGAUUUUUACUCAAUGGAUUGAUCAUAAAUAUUUGAAACUUGAGCUGUGUUGCUGUGUUGCUUUUUUGUGAUUGGUCAGAAAAGUCCCAAGAUAUUGUUUCUGUUCCAUUACUGACACAGCCCAUACCACUUCAGACAGGAAGACUUGCAUGUAGAAAUUAAAAAUAAUUGUUAUGAAUAUAGUUAUUAUAUUAAUAUUGUGUAUUACCAUGCAUUUGCAUUUGGAAUUCACUUCUAACAGUAAAAAUCAAUCAUUUGAAUGUUUGCAGAAAGUAAACAUACAAGGUGUGAAAACAUGACCAAAGUGAAUUCGUAUAAAAUUCAAAUCAAUAUUCAUGACACUUUUUUGCAUUAUUCACCCACCUCUAGCUUAUAUGUCUUUCACAGCAUGUUGGUAUUAAUGGGUUUCAUUAAAAAAAAAAGUUGCAUGAAACAUAUGUUAGAGGAUUAUCUUGCUGUCCUGAGAUUGUGUUAUAUGCAUGGAACAGAAUACAUUAUUCAGGUUGUUUUUUAAUUCACUUUAAUAGGAAUUGGACUGCACCUGAAAUAGAUUUACUGUACAAGCAGUACUGAUAAUUAAAGCUGAACAAAUAAUUUUUGGCAAAUAACUUGCUCAAAGACGUUUGCUUCCUUUUUGGCUCAUUGACUGUCCACAAGCAAAUCAGUUUCCUCAAAUGCAUUUUUAUUUGAAAUUAUUCACAAACAAUUCCCCCUUUAAUAGAUUGUUUUAAACAAGUUCACUGCAAGUAUUCAAAAUAGGAGCUGUGUUGGUUAGUUGUGAAUCACAAUUUGUGACUGGUCACAAAUCAUAUGGUAGCGUUACUGUUCUGGUUGGAUGCGAUGUUCUCUCACUUUUGCGGGGAAUAUUUAAGCACAAAAAUUUAAAGGGGCAAAUUUUCUAACAUGCUAAAUGACUUAGCAGCCCAAGUCCCACUUUCAAAAGUGACUUCGGUGCUUAGAAAGCUAAGCCUCAUUGAAAGUCAAUUCCUGGCACACUCACUGCAAACAAUUGAGUGUUCCUUUUUUGAAAGGGUGCGAGCAUGGAUGAUGCAAAUUCAUUUUCAAAUCUGAGUGAACACUCAGAGAAUUGAUGGGAUUUGACCAGCUCUAAUGAUCACUGUGCUUCUGGCAGAAGUUCUCUUCAAUGGACAAACGAGAGGCAGAGUACAACACUUUUUUAGCCUUGUCACUCUAGCAAGAGAAUUAUGGUACAUUAAUCCUUUUGAAAUGCUUUUGCUAAUUCUUGUGUUGUUUCCCAGCAAUCUCAAGACUCUUCUUCAGUGAAGCCUACACAUUCAUCCACACACUUUAUUAGGCAUUGUAAAGUGGCUACACCUGCAGUUUUAAAUGACUAACACAAAUGUUAUAAUGGCUGUGAUCAGUCAAAGAAAAAGUUCAAAGUUCAAAGGUCAGCCUAUUGUAAAUGGAAACUAAGAGAUAUAGGAUGAUAGCUUGUUAAUGUUAUUUACCUCAUUCAGCUAAAAAACUUUCUCUGUGACUCCGUUGUGUCAGGAGGACUAACACUGGCAAUUCUGGGCAUUGUUAUUUGAAUAGGGGUUAAAUUAUUCUGUUUUGUCAUUAAGUGUUCCUUGAUUGGCAAUCCACAACACAAUAGGUGAUCAUUAAGGGAAGAGUCAUAAAACUGUUACGCUAUUUAAAAGUGAAUGGUGAAUGAAGCCAGAUAUCUCCAAGACACUUUCUACAGCUGCUGGAGGAGCAAUUUAGAGCAGGAAAGGUUAGAAACUACAUAGUCACAUUCUGGAAUGAUCAUCUAUUCAACAAAUAUUCCUAGUUUUGUUUUGAAAAAUCUUUACCCUGAACUUACUGCAAGGGAAUCUGUUAAUACUUUCCUAAAACAUGUAUCAGUGAUUUUAUGGCACGUCUCAAUUUUAU